rnacentral:tRNA from 1 species
GCGCUCGUAGCUCAAUUGGAUAGAGCAUCUGACUACGGAUCAGAAGGUUGGGGGUUCGAGUCCCUUCGAGCGCGCUA